GUGUCAGCAGCCGCGGUAAUACGGAGGAUCCAAGCGUUAUCCGGAUUUAUUGGGUUUAAAGGGUGCGUAGGCGGCCUGUUAAGUCAGGGGUGAAAGACGGUAGCUCAACUAUCGCAGUGCCCUUGAUACUGAUGGGCUUGAAUGGACUAGAGGUAGGCGGAAUGAGACAAGUAGCGGUGAAAUGCAUAGAUAUGUCUCAGAACACCGAUUGCGAAGGCAGCUUACUAUGGUCUUAUUGACGCUGAGGCACGAAAGCGUGGGGAUCAAACAGGAUUAGAUACCCUGGUAGUCC
rnacentral:rRNA from 1 species